rnacentral:rRNA from 1 species
UAGGGAAUCUUCGGCAAUGGACGAAAGUCUGACCGAGCAACGCCGCGUGAGUGAAGAAGGUUUUCGGAUCGUAAAACUCUGUUGUUAGAGAAGAACAAGGACGUUAGUAACUGAACGUCCCCUGACGGUAUCUAACCAGAAAGCCACGGCUAACUACGUGCCAGCAGCCGCGGUAAUACGUAGGUGGCAAGCGUUGUCCGGACUUAUUGGGCGUAAAGCGAGCGCGGGCGGUUUCUUAAGUCUGAUGUGAAAGCCCCCGGCUCAACCGGGGAGGGUCAUUGGAAACUGGGAGACUUGAGUGCAGAAGAGGAGAGUGGAAUUCCAUGUGUAGCGGUGAAAUGCGUAGAUAUAUGGAGGAACACCAGUGGCGAAGGCGGCUCUCUGGUCUGUAACUGACGCUGAGGCUCGAAAGCGUGGGGAGCAAACAGG